UAUGGAAAUCUUUUUAAAGAUUUCUUUUAGAAGACGUCUUUUAAAGACACUUGGGAUUCAGAGACACUAGAAUAAAAGUAACUGAUAUGAUUGGCUUCUACAUUGGUUUGAAAAGAUGGCUACAAAUACUCUGACAUGCUUCUCCUCAAGAGCAAUUGAAGCGCGGAGGAUUUGAGACUGCUUCAACCAACAGAGCUUGAUGAAAGCGACACUAUGUGACUUCUAAGCAAUCUACCCAGUAGUUGGAGAAGCAAACACAGAACACAAGCAAAUAUUUUCCUGACUAGAUGGUAGACCUGCUCAUGGGUGAAAGUGCUGGCUAAUGGGGCACAUGCAGAACUGUGUGUGGGAUUUCCAGGAAAGCUUCUGAUUGAGGCAGUACCCUUUCCUCCUUAUUCCUUCCCCUUGUUUCUGCUAAAUGUUGACUUGAUGCCUAUAACUACAGCA